GAUGAACGCUGGCGGCGUGCCUAAUACAUGCAAGUCGAGCGAACAGACGAGGAGCUUGCUCCUCUGACGUUAGCGGCGGACGGGUGAGUAACACGUGGAUAACCUACCUAUAAGACUGGGAUAACUUCGGGAAACCGGAGCUAAUACCGGAUAAUAUAUUGAACCGCAUGGUUCAAUAGUGAAAGACGGUUUUGCUGUCACUUAUAGAUGGAUCCGCGCCGCAUUAGCUAGUUGGUAAGGUAACGGCUUACCAAGGCAACGAUGCGUAGCCGACCUGAGAGGGUGAUCGGCCACACUGGAACUGAGACGCGGUCCAGACUCCUAGGGGAGGCAGCAGUAGGGAAUCUUCCGCAAUGGGCGAAAGCCUGACGGAGCAACGCCGCGUGAGUGAUGAAGGUCUUCGGAUCGUAAAACUCUGUUAUUAGGGAAGAACAAAUGUGUAAGUAACCAUGCACGUCUUGACGGUACCUAAUCAGAAAGCCACGGCUAACUACGUG
rnacentral:rRNA from 1 species